CUACAACAAAAAGGGGUAGCUGUGAAGGUCUUUCUCCAUCUCGUACAAAAAGGGCAACAAGAUGAUAAACUGGAU